rnacentral:rRNA from 1 species
UACAGAGGUCUCAAGCGUUGUUCGGAUUCAUUGGGCGUAAAGGGUGCGUAGGCGGCGCGGUAAGUCGGGUGUGAAAUCUCGGAGCUUAACUCCGAAACUGCAUUCGAUACUGCCGUGCUUGAGGACUGGAGAGGAGACUGGAAUCUACGGUGUAGCGGUGAAAUGCGUAGAUAUCGUAAGGAAGACCAGUGGCGAAGGCGGGUCUCUGGACAGUUCCUGACGCUGAGGCACGAAGGUCAGGGGAGCAAACGGG